rnacentral:rRNA from 1 species
UAGGGAAUCUUCGGCAAUGGGGGCAACCCUGACCGAGCAACGCCGCGUGAGUGGAGAAGGUUUUCGGAUCGUAAAGCUCUGUUGUAAGUCAAGAACGGGUGUGAGAGUGGACAGUUCACACUGUGACGGUAGCUUACCAGAAAGGGACGGCUAACUACGUGUCAGCAGCCGCGGUAAUACGUAGGUCCCGAGUGUUGUCCGGAUUUAUUGGGCGUCAAGCGAGCGCAGGCGGUAUGAUAAGUCUGGAGUUAAAGUCUGUGGCUCAACCAUAGUUCGCUUUGGAAACUGUCAAGCUUGAGUGCAGAAGGGGAGAGUGGAAUUCCAUGUGUAGCGGUGAAAUGCGUAGUUAUAUGGAGGAACACCGGUGGCGAAAGCGGCUCUCGGGACUGAAACUAACACUGAGGCUCGAAAGCGUGGGGAGCGAACAGG